rnacentral:lncRNA from 1 species
UUCACGGUAAGAGAACCUUCUCCUGAUGCUGUGGGCACUAAUCGAGUAAUAAAGGGAACGGAACCUUCGGUGGCACUUACCAGAUUCCAGGCAGGAAGAGCUCGUCUGAAGUGGGGAGCGGAGAGAGAGCAAAUUCAAAUGUGGGGAACACGGAAGUGCCUCAUCAGAGGCAGCAGAGCCAAUGACUAUAGGAGGAACUUCGUGUAUUCAAGAGACACAAAAAAGCAAUUCAAACCACAGCCCCACAAUGCUGCCCUUGCAACAAAACAACACCAGGGAAGUUAUGAUAACAGCCAACUUGCCAUGAGACGUGUGUAUACCUGGCUUGGCCCAGGUGACCCUGGAGCCUCAGGGAUCCCUC